rnacentral:rRNA from 1 species
CUACGGGGCGCUGCAGUCGAGAAUCUUCCGCAAUGGGCGCAAGCCUGACGGAGCAAUGCCGCGUGAGUGAUGAAGGCCUUCGGGUUGUAAAACUCUGUCAGAGGGGACGAAAUUUGACGGUACCCUCAGAGGAAGCCACGGCUAACUACGUGCCAGCAGCCGCGGUAAUACGUAGGUGGCGAGCGUUAUUCGGAUUUACUGGGCGUAAAGGGUUCGUAGGGGGUUUGCCAAGUCUGAUGUGAAAUUCCGCGGCUCAACCGCGGACGUGCAUUGGAUACUGUCGAACUAGAGUUCCUGAUGGGAAAGCGGAAUUCCAGGUGUAGCGGUGGAAUGCGUAGAUAUCUGGAAGAACACCGGUGGCGAAGGCGGCUUUCUGGCAGGAUACUGACCCUCAUGGACGAAAGCGUGGGUAGCGAACAGGAUUAGAUACCCCUGUAGUC